CCUACGGGGGGCAGCAGUGGGGAAUAUUGCACAAUGGGGGAAACCCUGAUGCAGCAACGCCGCGUGAGUGAAGAAGGCUUUCGGUUUGUAAAGCUCUAUCCGCAGGGAAGAAGCAAGACGGUGCCUGACUAAGAUGCCCCGGCUAACUACGUGCCAGCAGCCGCGGUAAUACGUAGGGGGCAAGCGUUAUCCGGAUUUACUGGGUGGAAAGGGAGCGUAGACGGGUGUGCAAGUCUGAAGUGAAAGCCCGGGGCUCAACCGCGGAACUGCUUUGGAAACUGUAUAGCUUGAGUACUGGAGAGGCAGACGGAAUUCCUAGUGUAGCGGUGAAAUGCGUAGAUAUUAGGAGGAACACCAGUGGCGAAGGCGGCCUGCUGGACAGAAACUGACGUUGAGGCGCGAAAGCGUGGGGAGCAAACAGGAUUAGAUACCCUGGUAGUC
rnacentral:rRNA from 1 species